UUUUUAUGGAGAGUUUGAUCCUGGCUCAGGAUGAACGCUGGCGGCGUGCCUAAUACAUGCAAGUCGAGCGAACAGACGAGGAGCUUGCUCCUUUGAUGUUAGCGGCGGACGGGUGAGUAACACGUAGGUAACCUACCUAUAAGACUGGGAUAACUUCGGGAAACCGGAGCUAAUACCGGAUAAUAUUUCGAACCGCAUGGUUCGAUAGUGAAAGAUGGCUUUGCUAUCACUUAUAGAUGGAC
rnacentral:rRNA from 1 species